CGAAUUGCAGCACAAUCGAGUUCAAACCACUUGGCCUGUUCACGGGACGAAAACAUAACCUCAGAAGUCGUGUAUUUUACCACCAAAGUAUGGAUAUUUGAAUAUAAAAUUAUUCCAUGGCUUUUCGCCACUAAGUGCCUCCGCAUAGUGCUAUUUCAUUUUUUGUGUUUUGCUGUAUAGAAAAUUACUCCUGCAAUGGAACUAGCCUGGCCUCGUACGAGUAUGAAACAGUAGUUACGGGACAUUUUACUACUUACAGGAUGUGAAUCAUGUUUACCUCUCAACUUAUUUAAUUUUAAACCAAAGUGCAAGACAAUAAUCAACCUGUAAGUUAUGCCAAAUAAAAAAAAAGAUUGCUAAUUGAA